AUUGAACGCUGGCGGCAUGCCUUACACAUGCAAGUCGAACGGCAGCACGGGUGCUUGCCCCUGGUGGCGAGUGGCGAACGGGUGAGUAAUACAUCGGAACAUGUCCUGUAGUGGGGGAUAGCCCGGCGAAAGCCGGAUUAAUACCGCAUACGAUCUACGGAUGAAAGCGGGGGACCUUCGGGCCUCGCGCUAUAGGGUUGGCCGAUGGCUGAUUAGCUAGUUGGUGGGGUAAAGGCCUACCAAGGCGACGAUCAGUAGCUGGUCUGAGAGGACGACCAGCCCCACUGGGCCUGGGGCCCGGCCCGGCUCCCUCCGGGGGGCAGCAGGGGGGAUUUUUGGACAAUGGGCGAAAGCCUGAUCCAGCAAUGCCGCGUGUGUGAAGAAGGCCUUCGGGUUGUAAAGCACUUUUGUCCGGAAAGAAAUCCUUGGCCCUAAUACGGUCGGGGGAUGACGGUACCGGAAGAAUAAGCACCGGCUAACUACGU
rnacentral:rRNA from 1 species